rnacentral:rRNA from 1 species
UGACCUCGGAUCAGGUAGGGAUACCCGCUGAACUUAAGCAUAUCAAUAAGCGGAGGAAAAGAAACCAACCGGGAUUGCCUCAGUAACGGCGAGUGAAGCGGCAAGAGCUCAAAUUUGAAAGCUGGCUCCUUCGGAGUCCGCAUUGUAAUUUGCAGAGGAUGCUUUGGGUGCGGCCCCCGUCUAAGUGCCCUGGAACGGGCCGUCAGAGAGGGUGAGAAUCCCGUCUUGGGCGGGGUGUCCGUGCCCGUGUAAAGCUCCUUCGACGAGUCGAGUUGUUUGGGAAUGCAGCUCUAAAUGGGUGGUAAAUUUCAUCUAAAGCUAAAUACUGGCCGGAGACCGAUAGCGCACAAGUAGAGUGAUCGAAAGAUGAAAAGCACUUUGAAAAGAGAGUUAAACAGCACGUGAAAUUGUUGAAAGGGAAGCGCUUGCGACCAGACUCGCCCGCGGGGUUCAGCCGGCAUUCGUGCCGGUGUACUUCCCCGUGGGCGGGCCAGCGUCGGUUUGGGCGGCCGGUCAAAGGCCCCUGGAAUGUAGUGCCCUCCGGGGCACCUUAUAGCCAGGGGUGCAAUGCGGCCAGCCUGGACCGAGGAACGCGCUUCGGCACGGACGCUGGCAUAAUGGUCGUAAACGACCCGUCUUGAAACACGGACCAAGGAGUCUAACAUCUACGCGAGUGUUCGGGUGUCAAACCCGUGCGCGCAGUGAAAGCGAACGGAGGUGGGAGCCCCCUUGCGGGGCGCACCAUCGACCGAUCCUGAUGUCUUCGGAUGGAUUUGAGUAAGAGCGUAGCUGUGGGGACCCGAAAGAUGGUGAACUAUGCCUGAAUAGGGCGAAGCCAGAGGAAACUCUGGUGGAGGCUCGCAGCGGUUCUGACGUGCAAAUCGAUCGUCAAAUUUGGGUAUAGGGGCGAAAGACUAAUCGAACCAUCUAGUAGCUGGUUCCUGCCGAAGUUUCCCUCAGGAUAGCAGUAACGCAAAAUCAGUUUUAUGAGGUAAAGCGAAUGAUUAGAGGCAUUGGGGUUGAAACAACCUUAACCUAUUCUCAAACUUUAAAUAUGUAAGAAGCCCUUGUUGCUUAGUUGAACGUGGGCAUUAGAAUGGAGCGU